CCACUCAAAAGGUUCUCUCCCAAGAGGAGCACCCUCAGAUCAGAAUCAGCAACUGAAGUUGGAAUCAAACCAGACAAGAAAUUACCUUUGAGGUUGAGAGUCAGUAAACUCCCACGGAGAUUUUGUUACCUUGCAAGCUGAGAUGUGCGACAUUUGAAAACUCGCAAGAUGGUAUAGGGCCUGGAAGAAAGUUAUCCGAAAGGUCCAAGUAGAACACAAUGGAAGCGAACAUUUCACAGGA
rnacentral:misc_RNA from 1 species